CUCGUAGGCGGCCAACUAAGUCAGACGUGAAAUCCCUCGGCUUAACCGGGGAACUGCGUCUGAUACUGGAUGGCUUGAAUCCGGGAGAGGGAUGUGGAAUUCCAGGUGUAGCGGUGAAAUGCGUAGAUAUCUGGAGGAACACCGGUGGCGAAGGCGGCAUCCUGGACCGGCAUUGACGCUGAGGAGCGAAAGCCAGGGAGCAAACG
rnacentral:rRNA from 1 species